GUAAACAGGCUCUGACACAGCCCAGGGCACCUGGUGUAGUCAGACGACUUCCAUCUGACGUCUGUGACAUGGACCAAAUGCUGCCCAAGUCUCUCCCAGCCCAAUGCCCACUGCCCAGUUCAGUGUCCAACAAAUGUCAGCUGAAUAAAAGUACACUGAAAAACCCAGCAAUUCUCAGACUUUGAUGAGGAAGACCUUUCUCUGAAUAACAGCUCGUGGAGGCUGGAAGAGGGGGAAGCGUUGACUCAGCAGGGGUCUCCCUUCAGACUCCAGGACCUCCUCUGGUGGGGGCCCAGCCUCCGCACAGCUACCCUCCUCAGGGCCUUCCUCUCAGCGCCUCCCCACCAGCCCCCCCACUGCCCCUGUCCAGCUUUUGGCCACUCUGCCCGCGGGGGGUUGGACCAGCCCCUGCUGGCGCCCCACCUGUUCCCUGGCAGCUGCCUGAGUGCCUGCAAACGCUCGGUUUAUAUUUGGGGUACGAGGCAUUCUUCACGCGUUAGAAGCCGUCGUUGCCUACACACCCAUCGGAAUCUGAGCUUCUUGGGCCCAAAUACAAAUCCUGUGAGUAAAGGACCGCAAACGUUUACAAAGCGCUUACAGUGGGCCAGGCGCUCACUCGCUCACACAGCGGAAACCUGCUGUCUUCAUGUUGCAGUUGAAGAAACAGAGGCUCGGAGAGUAGAAGGUUCAGGCCUGAUUCCAGAGUCCUUCUGCCCUUCCCCCUGGUCUCCCCUGCCGCUGCCCCCCACCACCCUGUCCUUUGUUGCUGAUUUCUAGGCCAGAUUUAUUGAGAUCUGUGUUAUAUACGGUAAAAUUCACCCAGUGCACCAGUCGUGUAACCACCAUGACAACCAAGAUACAGAGUUUCCAUCACCCCAGGAAGUCCCCUUCACCCCUUUGUGUCCCUCAUCAGGCAACCACUGAUCUUUGCCCCUAAAGUUGUGCCUUUCCAGAAUGUCAAAAAUGGAAUCAGACAGUGUGAGGCCUUUUGUGUCUGUCUUGCACUUAGCAUGUGCUUUUGAGGUUCAUCUUUGAGAGUGUGCAGUUCUUUCCUUUUUGUAGCUGUUGUACCCUGUGAUACGGAUGUACCAUAACUUGUCAUCCAUUCUCCUAUUGAGGGGCAUCUGGGUUUCCAGUUUGGGGCAGUUUUGAAUAAAGCUGCUAUAAACAUU